AUACAGAGGGUGCGAGCGUUAAUCGGAAUUACUGGGCGUAAAGCGCGCGUAGGUGGCUGAUUAAGUCAGAUGUGAAAUCCCAGGGCUCAACCUUGGAACUGCAUCUGAUACUGGUCAGCUAGAGUUUAGGAGAGGGAAGUAGAAUUUCAGGUGUAGCGGUGAAAUGCAUAGAUAUCUGAAGGAAUACCAGUGGCGAAGGCGGCUUCCUGGCCUAAAACUGACGCUGAGGUGCGAAGCGUGGGUAGCAAACGGGAUUAGAAACCCUAGUAGUCC
rnacentral:rRNA from 1 species